AUGAACGCUGGCGGCGUGCCUAAUACCUGCAAGUCGAGCGAACAGACGAGGAGCUUGCUCCUCUGACGUUAGCGGCGGACGGGUGAGUAACACGUGGAUAACCUACCUAUAAGACUGGGAUAACUUCGGGAAACCGGAGCUAAUACCGGAUAAUAUAUUGAACCGCAUGGUUCAAUAGUGAAAGACGGUUUUGCUGUCACUUAUAGAUGGAUCCGCGCCGCAUUAGCUAGUUGGUAAGGUAACGGCUUACCAAGGCGACGAUGCGUAGCCGACCUGAGAGGGUGUUCGGCCACACUGGAACUGAGACACGGUCCAGACUCCUACGUGCGGCAGCAGUAGGGAAUCUUCCGCAAUGGGCGAAAGCCUGACGGAGCAACGCCGCGUGAGUGAUGAAGGUCUUCGGAUCGUAAAACGCUGUUAUUAGGGAAGAACAAAUGUGUAAGUAACUAUGCACGUCUUGACGGUACCUAUUCAGAAAGCCACGGCUAACUACGU
rnacentral:rRNA from 1 species